GAUGAACGCUGGCGGCGUGCCUAAUACAUGCAAGUCGAGCGAACAGACGAGGAGCUUGCUCCUCUGACGUUAGCGGCGGACGGGUGAGUAACACGUGGAUAACCUACCUAUAAGACUGGGAUAACUUCGGGAAACCGGAGCUAAUACCGGAUAAUAUAUUGAACCGCAUGGUUCAAUAGUGAAAGACGGUUUUGCUGUCACUUAUAGAUGGAUCCGCGCCGCAUUAGCUAGUUGGUAAGUUAACGGCUUACCAAGGCAACGAUGCGUAGCCGACCUGAGAGGGUGAUCGGCAACACUGGAACUGAGACACGGUCCAGACUCCUACGGGAGGCAGCAGUAGGGAAUCUUCCGCAAUGGGCGAAAGCCUGACGGAGCAACGCCGCGUGAGUGAUGAAGGUCUUCGGAUCGUAAAACUCUGUUAUUGGGGAAGACCAAAUGUGUAAGUAACUAUGCACGUCUUGACGGUACCUAAACAGAAAGCCACGGCUAACUACGU
rnacentral:rRNA from 1 species